GGAAGCCCAGCCAGAUGGGCGGGGUACAAAUAGAUGAUGAUGAUGAUGAUGAUGAUGAUAUUGUGGGAGAGUGGACUAGAUGAUCCUAGGAGUCCCUUCCAACCCCACUAUUCUAUAAGUGGUAAUUCACUAUGAUGGGAAUGUUAGACGCAGGGCUGCCAUCAUCCCCUUAGCUCGCUAGGAUCGCAGGGACGGGGACAUGUGGACCACUUGCGCAGCUCCACAUUUCAAAUGGAAAUUCCCUGAGCAAUAGAACCUGAAGCUGGUAUGCAGGAAGCUGGCCCGGUGGCAGCUUUGUUGGGACUUCUUUAGGGUCUCUGGCCAGUGUUGGCCCUGUAAAUUUACACAUCAUGGUGGCAACACAAGGCAGGGCUUCUUGCCCAAGCGGGGCUGGCAAGCAACAACUCAAUACCUCUCGCCCAUAUUUCCAUAAAAAUAUCUCCCUUUAAAGCCUGGCUAAAAGGUUAUCUAGAUGCGUCAGUAGCUUUGUGCUUGUGGGAAGGGUUUUCCCCAAGGUUUCAGGAUUCCUCUGGCUUUUCAGCCAGUGGCUCAGAAUACAGCAACUCAAAAGUCAGUUAGAGUCUGUGGUAGCCAGAAAGUCUGUGGUAGCCAGAAAGAAGGUUAGGAAGCAGCUUGCAUUGGGACGUAUGGUGGGAUCCCCUUGAUUCUCCUUCUAGUCCCGAUUUUCAUUUAUCCCCAUUGGGGAUCGUCCCUAAGAAAGCCCCAUAUAAUUCCAUCUGAUCCAUAUUUAUCGCACCCCAAAGGCACCUCAGUGAAUGAUGCUAUCCCUCCGGAAUUGUUCCGUGAAAUAUGCAUCUUUGGAUCAGGCAGUUGAGCUUACCAACAAAUUGGAAGAGGUGCCUUGUUGGCAUUAUGUGAUAUUGAAUCGGCUGUUAGGCUGCUGCUGGUUCACCCUCAAGAUUUUAAGUAGUUAGGCUUUAAUUGGAUGGUCCUUAUAUGGAUAAGGCGAUGCCAGUUGGUUGCUCAAUAGGCUGUGCAGCACUUGAGUCCUUUAGCGCCUUUCUGGAUUGGACAUUGCGAGUCAAGACUCGUUUAACUGGGGGUAUCGUUAUGUGGAUUAUUUUACUGGCUGGUUCAUGUGACACCAGCCUCUGCUUAGCUUACUAGAUGCCCCUUUAUUCCCUGAGGAGCUGGGUGUUCUGUUGGCAGUGGAGGACAGUGGCUCCUACUGCCCCUUUUAAUGUAUUUGGGGGCUAGCUGGAUACCGUUGCUCAAACAUCUGCUUGCCUGUGGAAAAGCUGUUUGCCUUGAAGGAUGUUAUUCUUGUAAUACUUCCUCUGAAGCAAGUGUUGCUUUGUCAGAUCCUAUCAUUCCUAGGUCGGUUAAAUUUUGCAUGCAGGGUGGUUGCUCCAGGCUGCCCCUUCCAUUCCUGCUUGGCCAGGUGGUCUCAUGGCCCGGUGUCCCUUCAUCAUCAUGUACAGUGGCCUUGAGCCUGGCAGGGCAAGGCAAUCACAUGUAACCUAACUUUUCUUGAGUUUUCCUCAUUGUAGUGUCAGCGCACAUCUGGACUGAGGAGUUUAGGGACCGUCAGGUCUGUCUUGGUCUGAUAACCAGGCAGUGUGAGAGUCCUGGCAAAACGGUCUUCAUGCUCUGGCAGAGUCUUCGCACUGCUUAAGGUUUAAUAUUGCGUUUCUGCUCACUUUAUUUCGGGAUCAUCUAAUGUUUUUGCUGCGGCUCUAUCCCGUUUUUCAGUUGGAGAGCUUCAGAUCCUGGGCUCUGGACACCCAGCUAUUUUUCUGGAGCUCCUGUGGCAUUUGGCAACAAUUAAUAAUUAUGAGGAAUCGUAGCUUACGUUUCCCCAUCCGCUUUCAGGUCUUAUGAGGCCUGGACUGAUUUCUUAAAAUUUAGCUGGUAGUCCUCAGCCAUUCAGAGGAACCUGCCCCCAUCCUCUGAGCAGGACCUGCAGUAAUUCGCCCACCUGCUGCAGAUAGGAUGCAGUGUUAAAACUAUCAGAAUUCAGUCCGCUGCAAUGUCUGCUAGAGUAAAGCUUUAAUUUUCAGAGACCCUUCUAAAAGUGUGUCAUGCGCAGGGUCUCAGAAGGUUGGAAUAGGCUCUGACCUUCACAGGACAGCAGGCAGGAAGCCGGUCAAUCUUUGACCUAUGCAGUAUCUGCAACAAGUUGAGACUUGUUGGCUGGUUCAAGAUCAAGACGAGACUUAUUUCAGUAUUCCAUUGUAAUUUUGGUGUACUGAGGGUUGGGAAAUUGUGUUGGAGCCAGCACGGGGCUGAGAGUUUGGAGGCUUAUUGCCUCAGGACUUUUCCUAUCUGCUUUGGAGCUUGUCAUAAGUGUCUGGAGCUCUAAGUCAGACCUAGUGAGCAGGGUUGCCACCAUCAGGCUUCCAGUCACAGGUGAGGUGGGCCCUUGUCCUGUUAUUGGAUACCAAAAAUAUUUGGCUUUUCGUUCCCCUGGGGGCUGGCUCGAUCCUAGUGCACAGAAAUGGGUUUCGGUUCGACAGGCAUCUAAUUGCUCACGUCGUGCGCCAGUUAUUGCAGCCUGCAGCUUGCCUACCGCUGAACACGCCUCAUUCCUUCCAAAUAGGUGCUGCUGCAAAGGCUGCGCAUUGGGGCCUGUUAGUAGACAGGAUUGUGAAUAAGGGUCAUUGGAAGUCUGACGCUGACAAAGGUUAUGUCAGGAAGCAUCGCCAAUGAUGCCUGUGCUGAUGCCUGUCUGUUAUUCCUUUUUUCAUAGGAGCAGCUGUGCGCAUUUGGAUUGUCGGCCACAGCAUCAUGCACUGAGCUGGCAAGCACCCUGACGAGUCUGGACUGGGGGCGCCAUCACGGCCUUCCUGCCCAUGUUUCUAGCUCCAGUCCGCAUCUGGAUUGUGGGGCACAGCAUCGUUUACUGGGCUGGCAUCAGAGCUAGGCAGUCUGGAAGGGGACUGGGUCUUGGCCUCCCGCAGCAUGUGCAGGUGUUGUGGAUGUCCAGGCGCAGAAUGCAGUGGAGCGAAUUCAUCCCGCUAAUUAAGCAGAGGGUGCUUUCGGAUGGCCCCCCCCCAUGGCAAUUGUGGUUCAGCUGGGGGAGAACGAUGUGGCAACUUAUGAUUGCUUUACUUUGCGCACCACGAUUCAGAGAGACUUGGGUGAAUUGGUGACCUUAAUACCCACAGUUAAAAUAUUUUGGUCACAAUUGCUGCAAAGGCGCAAUUGGCACGGCAUCUCUCGACCUGAGGCUGCUGAAAGGGCCAGGAAGCUCAUUAAUUCUGCAGUGUGUAAGAAGGUGGCGGAUUUGGGUGGAUUGGUUAUUUCCCGCCCGGAUAUUACCUUCAAGGCUCUGGCCCUUUACCGCAAUGAUGGAGUACAUCUCUGUACUGGGAAUGAUGUUUGGUUGGAUGCGGUAACUGCAAGGUUGAAGGUUGGGUUGGGAUUGUGAGUGGUUGGCGGCGAGCGUAAAGGGCUCGAUUGGCGGUUAGGCAUUGGUUAUAAAUUGGUGGAGGAGGGGUUAGGAUAGGCUGGGCCUGCCCCUCCAUGGUUGCUGCGGAAG